AAUAUAGAUGGGAAAUAAAAAAAAAUAGAAUGGGUGAAGACUAUUUGCAAUCGGCUCUUUUCCUCUUCUUCAGUCGAACUUUUAGAAAACAAGUUUCGGAGGGCGUUUCGCAUUCAGAAGGAGGCUCUGGUUAAAAUUAAACGAACUCAGGCGCUUGAAGGGAAAACGACAAACUUGAAAGAUCCAUAAAAAGCAGGCUAUUCUUUGAACAAAGAACAGCUGGUAGACUCCACAAAUGUUGAAGGAGAGUUUCAACUGCAACAUCUGCAUAUGAAGGGAAUACCUUUUCCACAUCAAUAAUGUCUCCAACACUCACAAUCUUCCCCUUGUUGGUUUUAUCCUCACACACCAGCAUUUGCCCAAGGUAAGGCUACAAAAUUCAUUCAACCCAUUUAUAUACUUUGUUAGUCACACGCACGCGCCCACGGAGGGAGACUUAAAAAGGUUUUAGGCCACUGACCUGUCCUGUAUAUUUGGUGGUCGCGGUGUUCACUUCCAAGGCUUCAGCAGAUCGGAACUUCAUCAUGGUUUUCCUUGGUUCACUUCCUAUUGUCGCGUCCUCUUGAAUGAUAGUAGGUACCUAAGAAGGAAAAAAUAAUAAUAAUAUUAUGAAUGCCACCUGCUUGAAAAAAUCAAGCCCGAGCUCGAGCCUAAACAAGCCCAAACAAAAUCAAGUGAAAUCAGCAACAAUUUUCGGCAAUGUUUUUCUACAUGUGACAACACUCUACUUUAGAUGUUUGGUCCAUGUCAAGCUUUCUAGGCUGCUGUCCAACGUCUCGCUGACUGAUGAAGGGGAUAAAUGGAGCUGGUCUUUGGACUCAAAUGGGUUGUUUUCGGUCAGUGGGUUGAGGACGUGCUUGGUGCAAAACAACCAAACGGCUGCAGCUACCGUCUACUCGUGGAAUCGAUGGAUUCCACUCAAGGUUAACUUUCUAGUGUGGAGGUUAAACUUGAAUAGACUAUCAACGCGGGUGUCUUUGUUAAGGAGAGGCGUACAAGUGCCAUCCGCUUUGUGUGAGUUGUGUCGAGAUGAAGAGGAGUCUACCGAAGACGUUUUCUGCACGUGCCCGUUCACGCAAAAGGUUUGGGAUGGAAUUGCGAGGUGGUGCAGACUUCCAGCCAUUUAUUUUUUUUUUUUGGCUUGGGUGAUAAAUUAUCAUGUACAUGUGCUGGGCUCAAAAGUCUGGAAACAAUUGAUCUACUCAGGUCUUUCAAACAACGAUUUGGUGUAUUUGGUCGAGUAGAAAUAAUUUGGUGUUUGAGCGGGAGAAGUGCUCGCCUGAAAGGGUGCUGGAAGAAACAAAGACAUGGGGUUUUUGAGGAUAAAACAUCGAGCCAAAGCGACGGCAUUGACAUGGGAAAAGUGGAGUGAUUUUGAUGUUUCUUGCUUUGUUGUGUAGUGUGUAAUGUUGUAGUUGUACUGGUGUAUGGUACUUAACGUGGUUAACACAAUUUUGUUGACCCAUUUUAUAAUAAAAAUUAGUUGGCCGUUUACCCAGACAAA